rnacentral:RNase_P_RNA from 1 species
GAGAGGUGGAGGGCGGCUGCCGGUUCCUCCGAGCGUCCGCAGGGGCGUGAAGAGGAGCUGAGGAAAGUCCCCCCACCGCAAAAGCACGGGUGCCGAAAGGCACAGGGCGAGAGCCCUGGCAACGGCGCAGAAACGAUACCGAGCCUUGCGUGUGCGAUGAUUCCGAAAGGAUGAGGUCGCAAGGUCUCGGAUGGAACGACCGUCCCCGUGGGUGCAAGCCUUUUGGCGCCGAGAUGAAUGCCGCCUGAAACAGAAGGGGGCUUACUACCAUCACUC